CCUACGGGUGGCUGCAGUCGAGAAUCAUUCACAAUGGGGGAAACCCUGAUGGUGCGACGCCGCGUGGGGGAAUGAAGGUCUUCGGAUUGUAAACCCCUGUCAUGUGGGAGCAAAUUAAAAAGAUAGUACCACAAGAGGAAGAGACGGCGAACUCUGUGCCAGCAGCCGCGGUAAUACAGAGGUCUCAAGCGUUGUGCGGAAUCACUGGGCUCAAAGCGUGCGUAGGCUGGUUCGUAAGUGGUGUGUGAAAGGCGCGGGCUCAACCUGCGGACGGCACAUGAUACUGCGAGACUAGAGUAAUGGUGGGGGAACCGGAAUGCUCGGUGUAGCAGUGAAAUACGUAGAGAUCG
rnacentral:rRNA from 1 species